GUGCCAGCAACAUGAAGCCAAGCUGCGAGAAAAGAAAUAUGAGAAAUAAGCAAGUUAUAUUGAGAGUAACCCAGAAUUAUUUUUCGGACUACAAUUACAACACCAGAAGUGCAAUUUUAGCUAAUAAAUUAAGUGCUGUUGUUUAAUAGAAGUUUAUAAAGCUAACAUCAAACAACAUACCACAAUACGGAUUGUAAUCGAGAC
rnacentral:misc_RNA from 1 species